GAUGAACGCUAGCUACAGGCUUAACACAUGCAAGUCGAGGGGAAACGACAUCGAAAGCUUGCUUUUGAUGGGCGUCGACCGGCGCACGGGUGAGUAACGCGUAUCCAACCUGCCCAUCACUUGGGGAUAACCUUGCGAAAGUAAGACCAAUACCCAAUGACGUCUCUAGAAGACAUCUGAAAGAGAUUAAAGAUUUAUCGGUGAUGGAUGGGGAUGCGUCUGAUUAGCUUGUUGGCGGGGUAACGGCCCACCAAGGCUACGAUCAGUAGGGGUUCUGAGAGGAAGGUCCCCCACAUUGGAACUGAGACACGGUCCAAACUCCUACGGGAGGCAGCAGUGAGGAAUAUUGGUCAAUGGACGAGAGUUUGAACCAGCCAAGUAGCGUGCAGGAAGACGGCCCUAUGGGUUGUAAACUGCUUUUAUAAGGGAAUAAAGUGAGUCUCGUGAGACUUUUUGCAUGUACCUUAUGAAUAAGGACCGGCUAAUUCCGUGCCAGCCGCCGCCGUAA
rnacentral:rRNA from 1 species